CGACCAACCCCAGACUCUUGACCCGCCUGCGGCCUUCCUGCAUGUCCUUUUUCUCUCCACUGAGAAACUUCCCCAAACAGGUUUCAACCGUGAUAUUCAAACGAGGGCAGAAGGCCGUGAUAAAUCAGGGCUGAGAUGCUUGAAGCUCAGAGCCCAAAAACGGAAUACAGAGGGAUCAUCAGGGAAACUCCAGGAGAUGGAAGUUCAAGGAAGGACCCCAAAAUGCUCCCUCUUUUCUGGUGAGCCUUAACACUCCCUGCUGGAAAAGCAGGACCUCACUGCAACCCCAGGAGAGAAGUGAUGAGAAAACAGGGUCAUGAGGUCAGAGGGGAGAGGGAAAUCUGUCCUCCGUAUUUCUAAGCAGAGAAAAUACAGAGGCGCCAGGAACUUGGAUCACAGAUAAUUGCUGAAGGAAUGCCAGCCUGCCAAGUCUUUCUUCAGUGCCGGUUACCCUCAGAGGAACACGGACAGGUAAAUUACCUAUGAUUGGAUUUAUUAGGGCUAUUUUUAGAAAAAUGUCAGAGGUUAAUUCCUCUGCAAUUAUUCCCCUGCAGGGCUCCAACAAUUGCUACCAAGAGUGCAAAUGAGUUAAAAAAAAAAAAAAAAAGGAGGCAGGGGAAUUAUGACUGUGGCCUUUGACAGAGGAACAUUCUGAAGAUUAUGUCCAUGUGAAGAAGGCAAAGGGGAAACGGUGAGGUGGAAAACUAAGGCAAUUACCCCUGAAUAAUUCAAAUCUCAAAUCUUACUUUAAUAUCACCAUUUCGAGAUUCUCUUUGUCUGCCUGACUUAUUGAGUUCAGUAGUGUGAAAUUCUCUACUUUGCUUCUGUCUUUUUCCUUACAUGAGAACGCUUCUAAUGGUCAUUCUUUGUGCUGAAGGAAAAGAAAAAGGCAUAAACUGUAGUCGCUUUCAACUCAGCACAUUUAAAAGGAUCAUUCAUGAUUUCUGCUUUGGCGUCUUAGAUGACUGACCCCAGUGGGAGCAGAUUCAAACCCUAACGGGCCACGAGGUAACACGGACUGAGGGAAACCAGGUGAAGCAGGAAGCUUGUGUCCCCUCUUAAGGGACAAGUGGCUACUCGGCUUAAGUCAACCGUGACCAUGAACUAUUCUGUUUUUUUUUUUAAAAGAAGCUGGAAUCCAGAGUAUUAUGCAUGACCUCUUCAGUUUCAUAUAUUGUCAACCAAUUGCUUUUUUUCAGUGCCACAACAUUAAAAAAAAAACGUAUAAUCUUGUCUAUGUGCUGAAAGUGGUUUGUGGGUGACCAGUUUCUGAUGUCUGGUCUCUAGAGUCUUCCUUCAGAAAAGGCACCCAUUUCUUAUUGAUAACCUCAACUGGAAACCUCGCCCAUUCACUCAAGAAGGCCCCUCUAGGUGAAUACUCCUUUAAGGAUACACAAAAUAAGCAGCCAGGCUCCUCAGCCCCCGACAUAAGCUUAGAAAAGGCCCUUUUCUAGAACAAAUGCCCAGUGAGAAGCAGGGAAGCUCAUCCAGGCUGGGAAGCCAGCCACUCAAGUGAAUUAUCAGCCACUUUCCUUUGUUAUAGCUUGCCCAUCUUAGCAAAGCACUCUCGUGUACAGGGGAGAGAAGAAGUCUGUUUAAUGUUUGCAGUGGCCUCAGAAUGCCCUGGUUGAAAAGCACUCAAGUGCUACGAUACACUUCGAACACUAGUUACCGCUUCUGGCUUUUCAGUGAGUAGCUAGCAAUGGGGUUCUUCACGAAGCUUCCUGACUUUGGGUAGAACCAAAAGCAGACAAUGGCUGUUUCUUUUCACUUUCAGGCUUCUGUCAGGGGCUAAAGAAUGAGUCAAACACCUCCAGAGCAGAAAAGUAGCAGGGAGCAAAGAGAGGGGGAUGGUGAGACCAGGCCUGAGGGGUUAACAGUACCAGGCUUGAGUCUUGAGGGCUAAUAUUCUGCUUAAGGGCUGUUUACAUGCUUCUUCUCAGCAGCAGUGUUAACACAGAUGCUGAAGUCCUAGGUGGGUUCCAGGGCCAGGAUAUUGACAACUAAAAGAUGGCCCUUCCCUUUCGGUGAGUUUGGGUAUCAGAAGGAAGACUUAAGUAGCUUUUUCCAAGGUUAACCUCUGGCUCAGUUUCCAAGAAAAUGUCACUCCAAGAAAAACAAAACUCAAAUCUCCCAGGGAUGACAUUCACACUGUCUUUUUGCCUGGAUUCUGCGAAAAUGUCUUCACUUUCUUUAAGAUUCACUCAGGUCAAAUCAAAGUAGGAGUCAAGCUCCAGUCGAAGCCACAUGAUCCAAGACAGUGUUAUGAGAACUCUGCACUAUGGGAUAUCAGGCUUGGUCCCAGCUAUAAAAAUGCCUCCUUUGUUUUCCAAGUGUUAUCAUUAUUUGUGCUAUGUCUCCAUUGAGAACCUUGUCAGAGAAAGAAAGGGUGAUUGGCGUGGCAGGAUUCCAAAAUUCCUUGGUCCUCUUGCCAAGCCCUUACCUUUAUUUCAACCCUGCCAGGCAGUUGGUCUGUAUAUUCAGUUGUUUAUAUCCAGCUAUUGUCUGCCUCCCAUUAGAGCAUACAGACCGGAAGAGAACAC